rnacentral:tRNA from 1 species
GCCCCCGUAGCUCAACGGACAGAGCAUCUGACUUCGGAUCAGAGGGUUGAGCGUUCGAAUCGCUCCGGGGGUG